rnacentral:rRNA from 1 species
AUUGGACGCUGGCGGCAGGCCUAACACAUGCAAGUCGAGCGGUAGAGAGAAGCUUGCUUCUCUUGAGAGCGGCGGACGGGUGAGUAAUGCCUAGGAAUCUGCCUGGUAGUGGGGGAUAACGUUCGGAAACGGACGCUAAUACCGCAUACGUCCUACGGGAGAAAGCAGGGGACCUUCGGGCCUUGGGCUAUCAGAUGAGCCUAGGUCGGAUUAGCUAGUUGGUGGGGUAAUGGCUCACCAAGGCAACGAUCCGUAACUGGUCUGAGAGGAUGAUCAGUCACACUGGAACUGAGACACGGUCCAGACUCCUACGGGAGGCAGCAGUGGGGAAUAUUGGACAAUGGGCGAAAGCCUGAUCCAGCCAUGCCGCGUGUGUGAAGAAGGUCUUCGGAUUGUAAAGCACUUUAAGUUGGGAGGAAGGGCAGUAAAUUAAUACUUUGCUGUUUUGACGUUACCGACAGAAUAAGCACCGGCUAACUCUGUG